GACGAACGCUGGCGGCGUGCUUAACACAUGCAAGUCGAACGGUGACGGAGAGCUUGCUCUCCUGAUCAGUGGCGAACGGGUGAGUAACACGUGGGCAAUCUGCCCCUGACUUCGGGAUAACGCUUCGAAAGAGGUGCUAAUACCGGGUACGAACUCGGCAGGCAUCUGCUGGGUUGGAAAGUUUUUCGGUCAGGGAUGAGCCCGCGGCCUAUCAGCUUGUUGGUGAGGUAACGGCUCACCAAGGCGACGACGGGUAGCCGGCCUGAGAGGGCGACCGGCCACACUGGGACGGAGACACGGCCCAGACUCCUACGGGAGGCAGCAGUGGGGAAUAUUGCGCAAUGGGCGAAAGCCUGACGCAGCAACGCCGCGUGAGGGAUGACGGCCUUCGGGUUGUAAACCUCUGUCAGCAGGGAAGAAGCGAAAGUGACGGUACCUGCAGAAGAAGCACCGGCUAACUACGUGCCAGCCGCCGCAGUAA
rnacentral:rRNA from 1 species